CGUACACUCCUACGGGAGGCAGCAGUGGGGAAUAUUGGACAAUGGGCGCAAGCCUGAUCCAGCCAUGCCGCGUGAGUGAUGAAGGCCCUAGGGUUGUAAAGCUCUUUCACCGGUGAAGAUAAUGACGGUAACCGGAGAAGAAGCCCCGGCUAACUUCGUGCCAGCAGCCGCGGUAAUACGAAGGGGGCUAGCGUUGUUCGGAUUUACUGGGCGUAAAGCGCACGUAGGCGGACUAUUAAGUCAGGGGUGAAAUCCCGGGGCUCAACCCCGGAACUGCCUUUGAUACUGGUAGUCUUGAGUUCGAGAGAGGUGAGUGGAAUUCCGAGUGUAGAGGUGAAAUUCGUAGAUAUUCGGAGGAACACCAGUGGCGAAGGCGGCUCACUGGCUCGAUACUGACGCUGAGGUGCGAAAGCGUGGGGAGCAAACAGGAUUAGAAACCCUUGUAGUCCCAUGA
rnacentral:rRNA from 1 species